rnacentral:lncRNA from 1 species
UUUUCCAAUAAACUUUUGGGUUUCUUCAUCAUGGAUCUUGUCAAAUGCCUUUGGUAGCUUCCCCUAAGUAACUUUCUUGUAUAUUUGAGCAGGGUUGGAGCACUCGCUGUAUGGAAACUCAGAAGUGAACAACUCUAUCAUACACAUGCCAAAAGAGUAUAUAUCUACCAACUCAUUAUAUUCCUCUUCAUACAAUUCUGGU